ACUUGGGGGAAUGUUUAUAUCCGUUAUAUUAUAUAUAACCGAUAUAGUACCGACUCUGUUGGAUAAAGUUCUAGGUAGAAGAAUGAUCAUGACAACUUUCUAUCUAUAUGUCUUGACCAAAUCUUGUGCCAGCAGUCGCGGCAACACAAGGGAGACUAGUGUUAUUCAUCUUUAUUAGGUUUAAAGGGUACCUAGACGGUAUAUCAAGCCCCAAAAGGGUACGGAUUUACUAGAGUUUUAUGUGAGAGGAAAAUAUAGUACUGUUGAAGUAGAGAUAAAAUGUGAUUAUAUCAUCAGGACGGAUAACGGCGAAGGCAAGCCUCUAUGUAAAAACUGACGUUGAGGGACGAAGGCUUGGGUAGCGAAUAGGAUUAGAUACCCUAGUAGUCCAGGCAGAAAAUUAUGAAUGUCAUAGAUUAGAGGCAUAAGUUAGUACACGCUUGCUAAUACUUUGAUCUAUAAAUGAAAGUGUAAGCAUUCCACCUCAAGAGUAAUGUGGCAACACAGGAACUGAAAUCAU
rnacentral:rRNA from 1 species